rnacentral:misc_RNA from 1 species
AAGUCGUAACAAGGUUUCCGUAGGUGAACCUGCGGAAGGAUCAUUACAGUUGGGGCCCCGCCCCGAUCAAGAUACCACCCCUUGCUUUUUGAGUACCUCUGUUUCCUCGGCGGGCUCGCCCGCCAACGGGGACCACAAAGAAACCUCUUGCAGUUGCAGUAAACGUCAUAAAUCAAAACAAAAAUCAAAACUUUCAACAACGGAUCUCUUGGUUCUG